GGGGGCCAGAGUUUAAACUGGUGGAUCUGAGCUUCUUUAAACCAGAUGGCCAGGUUCUAUCAAUCAAGAGGGACAUAAUCCAGAAAGGGUUCUUCUGAUCAUUGGGUCAGAAGCAUCUGAAUCCUUGUUAUCCGUUGUGCCUCAGCUAUCCUAGAAACUAGAUGCUUAAGAAUAUCAUAAUCCCAGAGUGAUAGAAAGACCUUUCUAGGGAAGAUGAGAUAUCCGGAGACUGGAAAGAAAAAGUCUGAAGGAUUUGACCACAUUAAAAUGAAAAUCUUUGGUUCAGCAAAACACCAGAAAUAAAUUCAAAAGAUAAAAUAUACACCGGAGAAGCCCAUUCUCUCAACACAUCUGUCAGUUCACAAAGAGCAGCUACAGUCCAACUUGAAAAAUGAACAAAGUGGUAGGAAAAUGGGCAGCGUUCACCAGGAGGAAAUAAGAAACAGGAAUGCCUAAUUAUGUGGCAAAAAUCUGCCCUAUCUUAAUAAAGAGAGAAGAUAAAAGCUUAGUAAAGAUUAACUUCUACUGAAGAUUAAAAUGACACUUCUGCCAUAAAUAAAAACAUUGUUGGCAA